rnacentral:lncRNA from 1 species
AGCAGCUCGGGCGGCGGGAGGAGUGGCAGCGGCAAGGCAGCCCAGUUUCGCGAAGGCUGUCGGCGCGCCGCGGCCCGCAGGCACCCGGCACGCGCCUUCCCCGCAGGCACCCGGCACGCGCCUUCCCCGCCGCCACGAUGCCCAAGAGGAAGGUCAGCUCCGCCGAAGGCGCCGCCAAGGAAGAGGUGAGUGCGGGCCUUCUGCGGGGGGUGGUGGGUUUCCCGUGAGCCGCUGGCCUGCCUUCUCUUCUCGCUGACUCUCCUUUUUCUUUCUCCAAGCCCAAGAGGAGAUCGGCGCGGUUGUCAGCUAAACCUCCUGCAAAAGUGGAAGCGAAGCCGAAAAAGGCAGCAGCGAAGGAUAAAUCUUCAGACAAAAAAGUGCAAACAAAAGGGAAAAGGGGAGCAAAGGGAAAACAGGCCGAAGUGGCUAACCAAGAAACUAAAGAAGACUUACCUGCGGAAAACGGGGAAACGAAGACUGAGGAGAGUCCAGCCUCUGAUGAAGCAGG